GCUUCGACUCUGAAAUCAUGCAUGGUUGCCUACACAAGUUGCUUUGACCUCCAAACAUGGGAAAGUUUCUCAAGUCUGCAAGUAUACAUACAACAUUUCAAGUGUCAUCGAAUAGAACUUCGCAGCUGAAGGAAUGAUUUGUGGGACGCCGCUGAAGCAAUAUGCGGUGACAAUGAAUUGAAAAUAGAAGCCACGAAAUGCUACAAUUGGAUUCCCAU
rnacentral:lncRNA from 1 species